AAAAUCUGAACGCCAAGGAGAGGAAACGGGGGAACCAACCUUGGGGCGUAUCUCUAAUAUUUCAAGUAUUUAGAGAAGAAAAACUCUCAUUUCUAGCCCGUCAGCUAACCCCGGCGGCAUUGGGAGAGGACUG
rnacentral:sRNA from 2 species